UACGUAGGGACCAAGCGUUGUUCGGAUUUACUGGGCGUAAAGCGUGCGUAGACGGUUAUUUAAGUCGGAUGUGAAAGCCCCGGGCUCAACCUGGGAAUUGCAUUCGAGACUGAAUAGCUAGGGUGCGGUAGAGGGAAGCGGAAUUUCCGGUGUAGCGGUGAAAUGCGUAGAUAUCGGAAGGAACAUCAGUGGCGAAAGCGGCUUCCUGGACCAGCACCGACGUUCAGGCACGAAAGCGUGGGGAGCAAACAGG
rnacentral:rRNA from 1 species